UUAAGUCACGCCCUCUUCUCUCUCUCUCUUUCUAAUAUGGGACUCGACUUCUAUUUCACCCUUUUCUUCUCACGCCACAAGUACCGCCUACCAACUCUCUCUUUCGAUUUUUGCUGCGGCCAUGGCAUCACCGGUGGCGACGCCGGCUGCCUCUCGCGCUCCGUCUCCCGUACCACUCGGUCGCCGCCAUCGCUACUCUCUCUCUCUCCCCUCCAUCAACACCACCGUCAUCCAAUGCCUUCGACCACUCCCACCGUGGCUAUGCACGGUGGUGGUCUCCACUGCAUGCGGUGGUAACACCGCCUUCCGCCCUCGUCGGAUCCCCUCGAUGUCGCUAUGGCCAGCCCCUCCUCCACGUGUGCUGUCAGCCUUGUCAAGAUAGGAUAGAUCGUGAAACUGUCGCUAUCGGGAUUGGCUCAGCGUAGCCGCCGCCCUCUUACUGCCGAUAUGCCGUCGCCGGAGCACCAUGCCAGAAAUCAUGGCAGCAGCUCCCCCACAAGGGAAGCCCUCUAACCAUGUAGUUAUUUAAUUCUAUUGCUUAUUAUUCUCGUGUUUUUAAGCGACUUGAGCAUAUUUAUUGAAUAUUGGUUGAACAAAUCAUAAGUUUAGUGUUCUUAAAUCUUGGUUUGGAAGUUGUAUCUAAAUUAUGUAGUACUAUUAGAUGAUUUAGAUUUUACAGAUUCUUUAUUUUCUUCAUAUGCUGCUAUAUGAUGCAUAAUCAUACAAAAAGAACUCUACCAAUUACUUACUUAAACUUAUUGAAGAAGAACUUGCUCUCCACUUCUCUGAAAUUCCUCCUCCCUGUUUCUCUCUUGAAUAUGGCGGUUAUGAUGUGUAUAGCAGCUGAAAAUGGGGAAGGCUAAGGUUUUUAUAUUCCAAAGAUAAUUUUGACAAGUGUCCCUAUUUUCUUAUUCACAAGUGUUAAUAUUUUGGCAUGUGGCGUGGAGGAGAACUUGGAAAAUAAGUUCAUGGAAUGGAAAGGAAGACCUUGUGGUAGAGGUGGCCACGGUUCGAAAACCGCCGGUUCUGGUUCGUCAAAAUCGUGAACCGUAACCGGCCCGGA